rnacentral:rRNA from 1 species
UAGGGAAUCUUCCGCAAUGGGCGAAAGCCUGACGGAGCAACGCCGCGUGAGUGAUGAAGGUCUUCGGAUCGUAAAACUCUGUUAUUAGGGAAGAACAAAUGUGUAAGUAACUAUGCACGUCUUGACGGUACCUAAUCAGAAAGCCACGGCUAACUACGUGCCAGCAGCCGCGGUAAUACGUAGGUGGCAAGCGUUAUCCGGAAUUAUUGGGCGUAAAGCGCGCGUAGGCGGUUUUUUAAGUCUGAUGUGGAAGCCCACGGCUCAACCGUGGAGGGUCGUUGGAAACUGGAAAACUUGAGUGCAGAAGAGGAAAGUGGGAUUCCAUGUGUAGCGGUGAAAUGCGCAGAGAUAUGGAGGAACACCAGUGGCGAAGGCGACUUUCUGGUCUGUAACUGACGCUGAUGUGCGAAAGCGUGGGGAUCAAACAGG